CAGUAGCCGCGGGAAUACGUAGGUGGCAAGCGUUGUCCGGAAUUAUUGGGCGUAAAGGGCUCGCAGGCGGUUUCUUAAGUCUGAUGUGAAAGCCCCCGGCUCAACCGGGGAGGGUCAUUGGAAACUGGGAAACUUGAGUGCAGAAGAGGAGAGUGGAAUUCCACGUGUAGCGGUGAAAUGCGUAGAGAUGUGGAGGAACACCAGUGGCGAAGGCGACUCUCUAGUCUGUAACUGACGCUGAGGAGCGAAAGCGUGGGGAGCGAACAGGAUUAGAUACCCCCGUAGUCCCUGUCUCUUAUAC
rnacentral:rRNA from 1 species